rnacentral:rRNA from 1 species
UGGGGAAUAUUGGACAAUGGGGGCAACCCUGAUCCAGCAAUGCCGCGUGUGUGAAGAAGGUCUUCGGAUUGUAAAGCACUUUCGACGGGGACGAUGAUGACGGUACCCGUAGAAGAAGCCCCGGCUAACUUCGUGCCAGCAGCCGCGGUAAUACGAAGGGGGCUAGCGUUGCUCGGAAUGGCUGGGCGUAAAGGGCGUGUAGGCGGUUUACACAGUCAGAUGUGAAAUCCCCGGGCUUAACCUGGGAGCUGCAUUUGAUACGUGUAGACUAGAGUGUGAGAGAGGGUUGUGGAAUUCCCAGUGUAGAGGUGAAAUUCGUAGAUAUUGGGAAGAACACCGGUGGCGAAGGCGGCAACCUGGCUGCAUGACUGACGCUGAGGCGCGAAA